GGGGGCCCGCACAAGCGGCGGAGCAUGCGGAUUAAUUCGAUGCAACGCGAAGAACCUUACCAAGGCUUGACAUGGACCGGACCGGGCUGGAAACAGUCCUUCCCCUUUGGGGCCGGUUCACAGGUGGUGCAUGGUUGUCGUCAGCUCGUGUCGUGAGAUGUUGGGUUAAGUCCCGCAACGAGCGCAACCCUCGUUCCAUGUUGCCAGCGCGUAAUGGCGGGGACUCAUGGGAGACUGCCGGGGUCAACUCGGAGGAAGGUGGGGACGACGUCAAAUCAUCAUGCCCCUUAUGUCUUGGGCUUCACGCAUGCUACAAUGGCCGGUACAAUGGGUUGCGAUACUGUGAGGUGGAGCUAAUCCCAAAAAGCCGGUCUCAGUUCGGAUUGGGGUCUGCAACUCGACCCCAUGAAGUCGGAGUCGCUAGUAAUCGCAGAUCAGCAACGCUGCGGUGAAUACGUUCCCGGGCCUUGUACACACCGCCCGUCAAGUCACGAAAGUUGGUAACACCCGAAGCCGGUGGCCUAACCCCUUG
rnacentral:rRNA from 1 species